AGACAACACCAAGACCUGAAUCUAGAAGUAAUUCACCAAUUUCACAGGAAUAUACGAGAGACAAGAAAUCAUUGAAAUCUCAGAGCACUGGGAAAUCUCGGAGCAUUAGAUUUGAAGAACCAAAUAAAAAGGACGUUCCUUUAAAUGUUCGCUUCCCUGACAGAAGACGAUAAAUCACGAAAUUGUGAAAAUAUGGAAGAGAACAACAAUUUGAAUUGUUUACAAGAAGCUGAAACUUUUAAAUGAACAAUACUAGUUAAUCUUAUUCUCAUCGUAUCUCUCAUUGGUAAACCAUCAAACCAAUCAGAGAUCGAAUAAGUUGUGUAAUACAGUAAUACCCAGAACACAAUGGAAUAGGAAGACGACAUUAAGGCAAUAGUUUUACUAGACACUUAUUAAAUCACAAAUUUAGUAAAACGGGUCCGCUGCACGAGCACAAUUGUUGUUUCUCAUGCUCAUUGGAGUUUUUAAAGUUAACACUUGAUUAUAAAUGUCGUCUUCCUAUUCCAAUUUGUUUGUUCAUCAAGAUGAUAAAGAGAAGAGAUCCAUGUUUACCUGAGCUGGGAACUUAUGGAUAAAUGCUGUAAGUUAAACUCAGUUUCUCCUUUCUUUUGUUGUACAUUAAAGAGUGUAAUUUCUCUAAAUUGUUCACAAAUGUAAUGUAAGGAAAGAAUGAUUUUAACCUAUAUAUUAUUUUUUUAAGCUCCCAGCUUAUGCUGAAUACCUUAAACCCCUCUCCCCUCCCUUGGUGCUGUGUACACAGCACAGUUGCCGAGUUUCGUCUUUACUACAGUCGUCGUCGUAUAUAUCAAUACAAUUUUUUUAUUUCUACCAAGCUUUCAAACAGACAUGGAUACACAUAA